rnacentral:rRNA from 1 species
UACAUGGGGUGCAAACGUUGCUCGGAAUUAUUGGGCGUAAAGCGCGCGUAGGCGGUUACUCAAGUCGGAUGUGAAAGCCCUCGGCUUAACUGAGGAAGUGCACCCGAAACUGAGUAGCUAGAGUACUAAAGAGGGUCGCGGAAUUCCCGGUGUAGAGGUGAAAUUCGUAGAUAUCGGGAGGAACACCGGUGGCGAAGGCGGCGACCUGGGUAGAUACUGACGCUGAGGCGCGAAAGCGUGGGGAG